rnacentral:rRNA from 1 species
UACGGAGGGUGCAAGCGUUAUCCGGAUUCACUGGGUUUAAAGGGUGUGUAGGCGGGCUAUUAAGUCAGUGGUGAAAUCUCCGGGCUCAACCCGGAAACUGCCAUUGAUACUAUUAGUCUUGAAUGUUGUUGAGGUGGGCGGAAUAUAUCAUGUAGCGGUGAAAUGCAUAGAUAUGAUAUAGAACACCGAUUGCGAAGGCAGCUCACUAAACAACGAUUGACGCUGAGGCACGAAAGCGUGGGGAUCAAAC